GCAGUUUCACUCUCAGUAUUUAUACACCUCUCCUCCUCUCACUCCUUUCUACUGUCAUACAGCUCAGCUCCAGGUACCUGGUUGUUGCUCCCUGUGAUCUCCCAGUUUGGAUUUUGCUGCAUGAUUUCAUUGAUGCAUCAAGAAGAGGAGAGGAAGCUCCAUAUGGAGUUUGUUCCAGGCACAGAUGGCAGCUUGUGAAGGCUUUUUUCCACAUCUGAGUUCAUACCCUUGGAACUGAGGAUAAAAUGUGUCUUUAAACGAAGCCUGGAAGGCCCUGGACUCUUUAGAAGGAGAUAGUUUGAGAGGCAGUCGUCACACUGGACAAACACAGCCUCUGCAGGAGGAGAAUAAUGAAGCACAUUGUUUACUCCGAGAGGACUGAGCAGAUCUGUCACAGCAGCGAUGGCUGCAGAGUAUUUCUGCAGAUGACAAGAGUUCAUUUUGAACUGGAAGCUGCUGACCACCUGGUCAGACCCAUGAACCUUAGCUUUAGGUGACUUCGGAUGACAUGUAAUUGUAGUUUUAAUUAGGG